rnacentral:snRNA from 1 species
ACUUUAUAGUUUUAAAGUACUUUUUGUUGGAACUAUGCAUAGAAGAUUAGCAUUGCCUCAGUGAAAUGAUGACAUACAAAUUUAUAAAGCAUCCCAUAACUUU